UACAGAGGUGGCAAGCGUUGUUCGGAAUUACUGGGCGUAAAGGGCGCGUAGGCGGUUCGUUAAGUCCUGUGUGAAAUCCCCCGGCUCAACUGGGGAACUGCACAGGAAGCUAGCGGGCUUGAGUUCGGGAGAGGGAAGCGGAAUUCCGGGUGUAGCGGUGAAAUGCGUAGAUAUCCGGAGGAACACCGGUGGCGAAGGCGGCUUCCUGGACCGACACUGACGCUGAGGCGCGAAAGCUAGGGGAGCAAACGGG
rnacentral:rRNA from 1 species